GUCUAUGGCCAUGGCACCCUGAACACGCCCGAUCCCGUCCGAUCUCGGAAGCUACGCCGGGUCGGGCCUGGUUAGUACUUGGAUGGGAGACCGUCUAGGAAGACCGGGUGCUGUAGCCG
rnacentral:rRNA from 1 species